GGGGGUACGAAUGUGGGGGUGUUUCUGAAUGGUAAUUUUUGUUGAACAUUGUGUUGUGAUGGGGCUACCAACCCUUAACUGUUUUGGAGUUUAAAUUGGAAGUGCCCUUCUGGUACGAGGCCUGACCGGAGGCUUUUAAUCUGGUACCACGGGUAACCAGGAGCCCACGGAACUUGUUCCGUCCUGGUUAGUUGGUGCGGCCCUUCGGGGAGUAUCGUGGUGGUUGUGGUUUAACACCCAAAUGCGGGUAGAGCAUCGCUCGACGUGGAGUUGCGUCAUACAACCGGGUUCCGUGACCCAGAUUACGGAAGAGGCUUAGAUAGUCCUCGUGCCAAACCAAGGUAGAAGUCACAACCAAACAGUCGUGUCUUUAAUUGGUACCUGCGGAAUUGUUCCAAGGGGGCGGUGAUUGACGCUUGAAUUAAUCCUAUACUAGGAACCGUGAGAUUAAGCCAUCGCGGCAGGUGCUCACGUUAAGCCCACUGACUUUCAUGUCCCUAUCUACUAUCUAGCGAAACCACAGCCAAGGGAACGGGCUUGGAAUAAUUAGCGGGGAAAGAAGACCCUUUUGAGCUUGACUCUAAUCUGGCAGUGUAAGGAGACAUAAGAGGUGUAGAAUAAGUGGGAGAUAUUAGACUUCGGUUUGGUAUCGACAAUGAAAUACCACUACUCUUAUUGUUUCCUUACUUACUUGAUUAAAUGGAACGUGUAUCAUUUCGUAGCCAUUAUACGGAUAUAAUUAUUAUGUCUUAUGGUAUUGGGUUCUGAUGCAAGCUUCUUGAUCAAAGUAUCACGAGUUUGUUAUAUAAUCGCAAACAAAUUCUUAAUGAGAGAAUGCAUUUAUGUAUUAUUGAUUUAAAAAUUUGGUAUAACUCCAAUUAAUCAGGUAUGAUCCAAUUCAAGGACAUUGCCAGGUAGGGAGUCUGACUGGGGCGGUACAUCUCUCAAAUGAUAACGGAGUUGUCCCAAGGCCAGCUCAGUGCGGACAGAAACCACACAUAGAGCAAAAGGGCAAAUGCUGACUUGAUCUCGGUGUUCAGUACACACAGGGACAGCAAAAGCUCGGCCUAUCGAUCCUU
rnacentral:ncRNA from 1 species